rnacentral:rRNA from 1 species
UGGGCAAGUUUAAAAAGCUCGUAGUUGAACUUCAGGCCUGGCCGGGCGGUCUGCCUAACGGUAUGUACUGUCUGGCCGGGUCUUACCUCUUGGUGAACCGGCGUGCUCUUUACUGGGCGCGUCGGCGAACCAGGACUUUUACCUUGAGAAAAUUAGAGUGUUCAAAGCAGGCUUACGCCCGAAUACAUUAGCAUGGAAUAAUAAAAUAGGACGUGCGGUCCUAUUUUGUUGGUUUCUAGGAUUCGCCCGUAAUGAUUAAUAGGGAUAGUUGGGGGCAUUGGUAUUGAGUCGCUAGAGGUGAAAUUCUUGGAUUGACUCAAGACCGACUACUGCGAAAGCAUUUGCCAAGGAUGUUUUCAUUAAUCAAGAACGAAGGUUAGGGGAUCGAAAACGAUCAGAUACCGUUGUAGUCUUAACAGUAAACUAUGCCGACUAGGGAUCGGACGACCUCAAUUAUUAUGUGUCGUUCGGCACCUUACGAGAAAUCAAAGUCUUUGGGUUCUGGGGGGAGUAUGGUCGCAAGGCUGAAACUUAAAGGAAUUGACGGAAGGGCACCACCAGGUGUAAACAAUCACAAUUGUUUUGCCGCAGUGACUCUGCACCUAAAAGCAGCCCGAAAGGGUGAAGGUGGUCUGUCCUGAAGGAUUCUUCUACUGAAGAGUACCUUCAAAUAUUGCUAGUCUGCCGAAAGGCGGGCAAGACCCUCAAAUUGCGGGGAACCCCUUAGAGCCUUUGCUACCGCCUCUGCAUGGAAACAAUAGCAGUGAGCACCAGGGUAAUGACCUCGGGUAUGGUAAAAACGCAAGGAUUGGGCAAUCCGCAGCCAAGCACCUAAGUACCGCCAAGGAAAAGAACGGUGAAGUUCAGAGACUAGAUGGGGGGUCGGUUGGCUUACAUUUCAUAGCUAGCUUAAGGUAUAGUCCGUCCCCUUGCGAAGCAUUGGGGGAAGGUGCCUAAAAGGAGCCUGCGGCUUAAUUUGACUCACACACGGGGGAGAACUCACCACGUGCGGACAUAACUAGAUUGACCGAUGAUAGCUCUCCAUCGAUUAAUAGUCUGUCCAUGCGCUCUUAUUGUGGAGGAAUUGUCUGGUUAAUCGAACGACAGACCUAACUGCAAUACCAGCGCUGCGCCUAGCUCAGCUAGCUCUGACUGCGAUCAUGACUAGCUGUAACAGA